rnacentral:piRNA from 1 species
UAAAACAGGCUCUCCAGUGUA